GUUUUAACCAUCUGCUGUACCCGGAGCUCUUCGCUGGCGCUGCACAGCUGAAUUUUUGCAAAGGGAAGAAAUUGCAAAGCUUUCCGAAAUAGAAAACUGUUUAGCAUCUCCGUAAAUAGGAAUGCAGACAAUCUGGACGCCUGACUUGGAAAGUAUUUAAUGGUCAGUGGAAAAAAAUGAGGAAGAGGAGGGUGUGGCUGCUGCUGGGAGGCUCUGGCCCUGCAAAGGGUCCCUGGCUUCCAGAGAUGUGGUCCUGCAUCGGCACAAAAUGAAGACUUCUUUUAGAAUGCCGGUGGUUCAGCAUUUUCUGGAGAUCCGAGGCUGGAUGGAAACGGGUACCAGCGGUUCCCUAAACCCGCCACGGCAGCUCCGAGAACCCCACACGUGCCAACCCCGUGCCCUCUGGACCUGGCUGAGCCCGUGCACUCUGCGAGCAGCCCUGGCUGGGCUCAGGCUGGGGCCGG